rnacentral:lncRNA from 1 species
GGCUCCCUGAGGUCUCCGAGUCGGCUGUUUCUGUCUCUGCAGCAUCCCAGGUGAGCUGGUGUAUGUGCUGCCGGAGUAGGGAAGGCUUGAGUUCCUCCUCGCUUCUGGUCAUUGGCUCCUAGGAAUUCAAUGUUACUCUCAGAAUGGGAGUAAAUAACUGAGGAGGAGAGUGUCGGUGGGAGAUAGAUGCUUCAUCUUGAGGCCUGUAGCAUGAGCCCAGAGAGGGAUGGAGGGAAUCUCAAGGCUGAAAUCUGAAAGUAAAUUCUAGGGGAAUCACAGGUAAGGCUCCAGAUGAGAACAGCAGCAAAGGAGAUGCCCAGAAUCACACCUGUGGUCUUAAAGAAGGGAGAUGGGAUGCUGCCGGGAAUGUGGGAUGCUGUCGGGGAGGCAGGAUGCUCUUGAGAAUGUGGGAUGCUGUUGGGGAGGCAGGAUGCUGGUGGGGAGGCAGGCAAGGCGGGAUGCCAUUGGGAAGGCGGGAUGCCGUCGGGGAGGCGGGAUGCCGUCG